rnacentral:other from 1 species
GUGUCCCUGCGGUGUGCGUGAUGUUGCACUCACCGUUUUGAGCCAACACUCACUUUUAGGGUCUCAAACUCCUGAGAAAUAACGCGAUAGGCCUGAGCCAAGGCGGCGUUUCCGGGUCGGGACCCACCUGCGAAAGCAGGUUCAAAACUCCGCAACACACGGCACUUGCGGGGCAAUG